GGAAGAUUGGCAGAGUGGCAAUGCAACGGUUUGCUAAACCGUGGCUCCUCACGGGGCUCGGAGGUUCGAUCCCUCCAUCUUCCG
rnacentral:tRNA from 1 species